UGACACCAUCUUCUCCACCAACAACAACAUAUGCACCAUCAUCAGCCUCUAGCCAAGGCGGCAUGCAUCAUCAGAUACCUACUCCAUCCAGCACAGAAAGUUAUUCUUAUGCUCCCCAAGCAUAUCCUGGAAAUUCGCCAUACAACAGUUAUGUAGCCCCUUGGGCUCAACCUCAAUCUAAGUCAGAGUUUCAAACCCAGCAGCCUCAACAACACAUGUAUCAACCCCAACCUACCACCCCUCCUUCACCUCAACAACACAUGUAUCAACCCCAACCUACCACCCCUCCCUCACCUCAACAAUUGCAUGCACAUCAUGAAUCUGAACAAGCGCUGCGUCAUCAACAGGCCCAAUCAGAACUACUGCAGUCGCAGAAUCAACACCUUCCAUACAGCCCUCAUCAAGUGCACCCACAUAAUGAACAAUAUCAGCCCCAGCCACACUUACAGUCUCAGCCUCAACAUCAUCCCCAUUUACAGCCACAACCACAGUUGCAAACACAGUCUCAGAAUCCGCGUCAGCAUCAACCUCAACCUCAACGACCGAUGCAAUUGCAGUCUCAGCAAUAUCAACAGCAGCCACAAUUGCAGAACCAACAUGUUCAAUACCCUGCUAGAUAUCCUCCCCCGCCAUGGGCUGCUACACCCGGAUAUGCCAACUAUCAGAGCCAUUCCCAGAAUGCGAUUUCGACUUCUCAAGGCAACACAGCAAC
rnacentral:lncRNA from 1 species